rnacentral:rRNA from 1 species
GUAGGUGGCAAGCGUUGUCCGGAAUUAUUGGGCGUAAAGCGCGCGCAGGCGGUUCUUUAAGUCUGAUGUGAAAGCCCACGGCUCAACCGUGGAGGGUCAUUGGAAACUGGAGAACUUGAGUACAGAAGAGGAAAGCGGAAUUCCACGUGUAGCGGUGAAAUGCGUAGAGAUGUGGAGGAACACCAGUGGCGAAGGCGGCUUUCAGGUCUGUAACUGACGCUGAGGCGCGAAAGCGUGGGGAGCAAACAGGAUUAGAUACCCUGGUAGUCCACGCCGUAAACGAUGAGUGCUAAGUGUUAGGGGUUUCCGCCCCCCUUAGUGCUGCAGCUAACGCAUUAAGCACUCCGCCUGGGAGUACGGCCGCAAGGCUG